GAAUUUUUCUCAAUGGGGGAAACCCUGAAGGAGCGACGCCGCGUGGAGGAUGAAGGUCUUCGGAUUGUAAACUCCUGUCAUUGGUGAACAAAGCCCUCGGAGUCACUGCCGUUGGGUUUGAUAGUAGCCGAAGAGGAAGGGACGGCUAACUCUGUGCCAGCAGCCGCGGUAAUACAGAGGUCCCAAGCGUUGUUCGGAUUCAUUGGGCGUAAAGGGUGCGUAGGCGGCAGGGUAAGUCUGGUGUGAAAGCCCGGGGCUCAACCCCGGAACUGCACUGGAUACUGCUUUGCUAGAGUACUGGAGAGGGAACUGGAAUUUACGGUGUAGCAGUGAAAUGCGUAGAUAUCGUAAGGAAGACCAGUGGCGAAGGCGAGUUCCUGGACAGUUACUGACGCUGAGGCACGAAGGCCAGGGGAGCAAACGG
rnacentral:rRNA from 1 species